AAUGAUGUGGAUAGGUAUCUGGCCGACUCUUGUGAAUCUGGUUUAAUUAAGGAUUUUGAUAUCUUAAAUUGGUGGAGGGUUAAUGGAGAGAAAUACCCUGUGUUAGAGAAGAUUGCAAAGGAUGUCUACGCCAUUCAAGUCUCCACUAUGGCUUCCGAGAGUGCUUUUAGCAAUGGAGGUAGGAUACUUGAUCCUUUUAGGAGCUCUUUGACUGCUAAAAUGGUGGAGGCUUUGAUAUGUUGUCAAAAUUGGCUUAAUUCUUCUCCAAGUUUUGACAGAUUUUUUUUAGAAGAGAUGGAGUAUUAUGAAAGUUUAGAUGCAGACCUAUGCCAAAGCCAAACAGUAGCAGUGAGUCCAGAUAGCAGCAACAAAAAUGAUUGAUGGUGCGUUGAGUGGAAUCAGUGGAUGUACUUGAAACUUGAAAGCUUGUUUUGUAGCAGUGGCAGUGAAGGAUUUGGCAGCUCUAA